AUGUAACUUCAUUGAGAACCAGACCGCAGAGUUCAAGGAGGCCUUCCAGCUGUUUGACUGAAUGGGUGAUGGCAAGGCCCUUACAGCCAGUAUGGGGACAUGACGAGGGCCUUGGGCCAGAGCCCCACCAAUGCCGAGGUGCUCCAGGUCCUGGGGGAACCUCAGGAGUGAUGAGAUGAAUGUGAAGGUGCUGGACUUUGAGCACUUCCUGCCCAUGCUGCAGACUGUGGCCAGGAACAAGGACUAGGGUGCCUAGUUUUAGGAUUAUGUCCGAGUCCAAGGAUUAUAUGGAAGGUCUUUGGGUGUUUGACAAGGAAGAGAAGGGCACCAUCAUGGGCGCUGAAAUCCGGCAAGUCCUUGUCAUACUGGGUGGGAAGAUGACAGAGGCAGAAGUAGAGAUGCUGGCGGCCGGGCAUGAGGACAGCAAUGGUUGU
rnacentral:lncRNA from 1 species